rnacentral:tRNA from 1 species
GGGUGGCUAGCUCAACUGGUAGAGCAGCGGACUCUUAAUCCGUUGGUUCGGGGUUCGAGUCCCCGGCCGCCUA